rnacentral:rRNA from 1 species
ACGAAGGAUCCAAGCGUUGUCCGGAUUUACUGGGUUUAAAGGGUGCGUAGGCGGAAAAUUAAGUCAGUGGUGAAAGCCCGCAGCUCAACUGUGGAACUGCCAUUGAAACUGAUUUUCUUGAAUAUAGCUGAGGCAGAUGGAAUAUAACAUGUAGCGGUGAAAUGCUUAGAUAUGUUAUAGAACACCGAUUGCGAAGGCAGUCUGCUAAACUAUUAUUGACGCUGAGGCACGAAAGCGUGGGGAGCGAACAGGAUUAGAUACCCUGGUAGUCCACGCCCUAAACGUUGAUUACUCGCUGUUGGCGAUAUACUGUCAGUGGCUAAGCGAAAGCGUUAAGUAAUCCACCUGGGAAGUACGACCGCAAGGUUG